GACGAACGCUGGCGGCGUGCUUAACACAUGCAAGUCGAACGGAAAGGCCCUGCUUGCAGGGUACUCGAGUGGCGAACGGGUGAGUAACACGUGGGUGAUCUGCCCUGCACUUCGGGAUAAGCCUGGGAAACUGGGUCUAAUACCGGAUAGGAGCCAUUUUUAGUGUGAUGGUUGGAAAGUUUUUUCGGUGUAGGAUGAGCUCGCGGCCUAUCAGCUUGUUGGUGGGGUUAUGGCCUACCAAGGCGGCGACGGGUAGCCGGCCUGAGAGGGUGGACGGCCACAUUGGGACUGAGAUACGGCCCAGACUCCUACGGGAGGCAGCAGUGGGGAAUAUUGCACAAUGGGCGCAAGCCUGAUGCAGCGACGCCGCGUGGGGGAUGACGGCCUUCGGGUUGUAAACUCCUUUCGCUAGGGACGAAGCUUUUUGUGACGGUACCUAGAUAAGAAGCACCGGCUAACUACGUG
rnacentral:rRNA from 1 species